CCUUACCUGGUCUUGACAUCCACCAAAAUUUUAACAGAUAUGGUACUUACUUUCAGAAACGGGCUGACUGGUGCUGCAUGGCUGUCGUCAUCUCAUGUUGGGAAAUGUCCUAUUAAGUCCCGCACCCUCGUUUUGUGUUAUCCUUUGUUGCCCCGGUCCGGCUUGGAUUUGCAACGAAACUGCGCCUGAUAAACUGAGUGACAGGUGGGGAUGACGUCUUGUCAUGAUGGCCCUUACGACCACUGCUACACACAUGCUACAAUGCCCCAUACAAAGACAAGCGACCUCUUUAGAUCGCGCCUACCUCAUAACGUGCCUCAUAAUCGGGAUUGCACUCUGGUUUCCUACUCGUUAAUUUCUGAACCUCUCUUAAUCGUGAAUACGACUGCCAGUUGGAAUACGUUCCCGGGUCUUGUACACACG
rnacentral:rRNA from 1 species